GGGGGGGGGGGCAAGCGUUGUUCGGAAUUACUGGGCGUAAAGGGGCGCGCAGGCGGCCUGGCAAGUCCUACGUGAAAUCCCACAGCUUAACUGUGGAACUGCGUGGGAUACUGCCAGGCUUGAGUCCGGGAGAGGAGAGUGGAAUUCCCAGUGUAGCGGUGAAAUGCGUAGAUAUUGGGAGGAACACCGGUGGCGAAGGCGGCUCUCUGGACCGGUACUGACGCUGAGGCGCGAAAGCUAGGGGAGCAAACGGGAUUAGAUACCCCGGUAGUCCUAGCCGUAAACUUUGAGCACUUUGUGUGGCGGGUAUCGACCCCUGCCGUGCAGAAGCUAACGCAUUAAGUGCUCCGCCUGGGGAGUACGGUCGCAAAGGCUG
rnacentral:rRNA from 1 species